rnacentral:rRNA from 1 species
UCUUGGUUCAGGACGAACGCUGGCGGCGUGCCUAACACAUGCAAGUCGAACGGAACUCUUUGGAACAAGGCUUCGGCCAAGGGAAUUUGAGUUAGUGGCGGACGGGUGAGUAACGCGUGAGCAACCUGCCCUUCGGAGGGGGACAACAGUUGGAAACGACUGCUAAUACCGCGUGACAUACAGAGAUCGCAUGGUCAUUGUAUCAAAGAUUUAUCGCCGAAGGAUGGGCUCGCGUCUGAUUAGCUGGUUGGUGGGGUAACGGCCUACCAAGGCUGCGAUCAGUAGCCGGACUGAGAGGUUGAACGGCCACAUUGGGACUGAGAUACGGCCCAGACUCCUACGGGAGGCAGCAGUGGGGAAUAUUGGGCAAUGGGCGAAAAAGCCUGACCCAGCAACGCCGCGUGAAGGAAGAAGGUCUUCGGAUUGUAAACUUCUUUUAUGAGGGACGAAGGACGUGACGGUACCUCAUGAAUAAGCCACGGCUAACUACGUGCCAGCCGCCGC